rnacentral:tRNA from 1 species
GCCCGGGUGGUGGAACUGGUAGACACGCAGGACUUAAAAUCCUGUGACCAUUACGGUCGUGCCGGUUCGAUUCCGGCUCCGGGUA